rnacentral:rRNA from 1 species
UACGUAGGCAGCAAGCGUUGUUCGGAAUUACUGGGCGUAAAGGGUGCGUAGGCGGUUUUGCAAGUUUGGUGUGAAAUCUCCCGGCUUAACUGGGAGGGUGCGCCGAAAACUGCAAGGCUAGAGUGCGGGAGAGGAGAGUGGAAUUCCUGGUGUAGCGGUGAAAUGCGUAGAUAUCAGGAGGAACACCUGUGGUGUAGACGGCUCUCUGGACCGCAACUGACGCUGAUGCACGAAAGCGUGGGGAGCAAACAGG